UACGUAGGGUGCAAGCGUUGUCCGGAAUUAUUGGGCGUAAAGAGCUCGUAGGCGGUUUGUCGCGUCUGCUGUGAAAACUCGGGGCUUAACUCCGGGCCUGCAGUGGGUACGGGCAGACUAGAGUGCGGUAGGGGGGACUGGAAUUCCUGGUGUAGCGGUGAAAUGCGCAGAUAUCAGGAGGAACACCGGUGGCGAAGGCGGGUCUCUGGGCCGUAACUGACGCUGAGGCACGAAGGUCAGGGGAGCAAACGGG
rnacentral:rRNA from 1 species